rnacentral:rRNA from 1 species
GUGAGGAAUUUUCCGCAAUGGGCGAAAGCCUGACGGAGCAAUGCCGCGUGAAGGAUGAAGGCCUAUGGGUUGUAAACUUCUUUUCUUAGAGAAGAAUAUUGACGGUAUCUGAGGAAUAAGCACCGGCUAACUCCGUGCCAGCAGCCGCGGUAAUACGGAGGGUGCAAGCGUUAUCCGGAAUCAUUGGGUUUAAAGGGUCCGCAGGCGGGAUUGUAAGUCAGUGGUGAAAUCCGGCAGCUCAACUGUCGCACUGCCAUUGAUACUGCAGUCCUUGAAUUCGAUUGGAGUGGGCGGAAUAUGUCAUGUAGCGGUGAAAUGCUUAGAUAUGACAUAGAACACCGAUAGCGAAGGCAGCUCACUAAGUCUGAAUUGACGCUCAUGGACGAAAGCGCGGGUAGCAAACAGGAUUAGAAACCCCUGUAGUCC